rnacentral:rRNA from 1 species
UACGGAGGGUGCAAGCGUUAAUCGGAAUUACUGGGCGUAAAGCGUGCGCAGGCGGUUAUGUAAGACAGUUGUGAAAUCCCCGGGCUCAACCUGGGAAUUGCAUCUGUGACUGCAUAGCUAGAGUACGGUAGAGGGGGAUGGAAUUCCGCGUGUAGCAGUGAAAUGCGUAGAUAUGCGGAGGAACACCGAUGGCGAAGGCAAUCCCCUGGACCUGUACUGACGCUCAUGCACGAAAGCGUGGGGAGCAAACAGG